CCGCUUUGACAGACGUCAUCUAUGCGUCUGUCCUCCAAUAGAUCAUAAGUGAGAACCAAUUAGUAUACUUGAAUAACUGAGCUUAUGAUAACAGGUUUGAAAUGAUAACAUGAAUUAAAUGAAAUGGAAAAAAGAAUA